UGGCUCACGCAUCGAUGAAGAACGCAGCGAGAUGCGAUAGGUAAUGUGAAUUGCAGAAUUCAGUGAAUCAUCGAAUCUUUGAACGCACCUUGCACCCCACGGUUUUCCGUGGGGUACGCCCGUUCGAGUGUCACGUUAACGUCGAGGCGAUUCUUGUAAUUGUCCCGGACUUGGACGUUGCCGGCGUGAGUCGGCUCGUCUCGAAAUGCAUUAGCUGGCGUGUUCGCAGGCACGGCGUUGAUAAUUUCUACGUCUUGACUUUGGACGCUCCGCUUCCAAUCGCCCCUCGGGCAACAUUUCUGGUUUGACCUCGAAUCGGGUGGGACUACCCGCUGA
rnacentral:misc_RNA from 1 species